AUAGUUACCUGGCAGGGGACAUACCAUGAUCACAAAGGUGGUUUUCCCAGGGCAAGGCUUAUCCAUUGCACUUCAGAUGUGCUGACCCCUGUGAUUUCCCCAAAUGUGGAAAACUUGAGACAUACUUUGUGAUCACAGGGGACUGCAUUCGUGCUCUCCCCUG